AGGUUUCUUGAAACAGGUUUUCCUUGGCUUCUGAUAGUUGAUGAUGACACUAUGUUCAGUCCUGCCAGAUUUGCCCAACAGUUAUCCUGCUAUGAUGCAGCAGAACCAACCAUACUAGGUCAGCGGUAUGGUUACAAAGUUGGCGGAUCCAACGGCGGUUACAAUUACAUCACUGGCGGAGGCGGAAAGAUAAUAAACCGUGCGGCGGUUGAGCGUUUGAUUGCUGAGGCGGAUGGUUGCAAGUGUCCCGAGGCGAAUACACCGGAAGAUAUGCAUAUAUUCGGCAUCUGUGCGAGACAGGCUGGGAUACGUCUUAACCAUAGUUACAGGCAAUUUCAGGGCCGUCCUAAUGAUUACCCUAUAGCCCUCACCUCGCAAAGGAAACCGGUUUCUUUUCAUAAACAUUGGAACAAUGACCCUCUAGCUGUGUACAACGAAUGGUUCAGGAAAGCAGAUUCUGCACUUCGGAAGCUGAAAACUGCUAAUCCUUCUUCAGAGAAAGAUGAACUGUAAUCUAUCCAAACCUGAAUGUCCAGACAUUGAAACCUGAAUAUCCAGGCAUUGAAACCUGAAUAUCCAGACAUUGAAAUCUGAAUAUCCAGACAUUGAAAUAUGGAUAUCCAGACAAUGAAACCUGAAUAUCCAGACAUUGAAACCUGAAUGUCCAGACAUUGAAACCUGAAUGUCCAGACAUCUAAACCUGAAUAUCCAGACAUCUAAACCUGAAUAUCCAGACAUUGAAACCUGAAUAUUCAGAUAUUAAAACCUGAAUAUCCAGACAUUCGAACCCGAAUAUCCAGACGUUGAAACCUUAAUAUCCAGGCAUUGAAACCUCAAUAUUGAAUCAGGAAACCUGAAUAUUCAGCCUAAAAGCCAGAGUAUUGAAUAUGGAAACCUGAAUAUUUUGUCUAGAAACCUUAGUAUUUAAUAUGGAAGCCUGAAUAUUCAGUCUGGAAACCUGAAUAUCGAGUCCAGAAUCCAGGCCAGAGUAAGAAACUUAUAAAUGUGGAUUACUAAAAACUAUUGAUAAGGUGGUUUAGCAAUAUCAUUGGUUAAUUUUUUAAAUUUCCACAUCUGAUCUAAAAACUAGGAAUCUCAAGGUCUAGUGAAAUCCCAGAUUUGAACCAGAAGUUCUUAAAAUGACAAGGCUCAAACUUUAUUGUAUUUGAUAAAGAGCAAGUACCAAAUGGCGCUUUAGUUGCCUAGUUUAGUUCAAGGAUUUAUUCUAAAGGGAUUGUUAGCUUUUUUAUUUAAAUUUCCAAAUCUUUAUUUUAUUCGGAUAAAUCGUUUUUACUCAAAGUUCUGAUCACUUUGACUCUCAGGAGCAUCUUUGAGCAGUUACUUGAUACAUCGCCGAUCCCUAAACCUGAUGGCAUUUUAGUAUUUUGAAAUAUAUGAACAAUUCUAAAAACAAAACUUUAAAAAGCUUUGCCUCAACGUGUUUAGAUUUCAAUACACUUUGUGCUUUAUAAGUGUUUCAACAACUUGAUAUAGAUUUCCGACCCUCUUAGGGUCCCUCCUAGGGGACCUUCUAGGGUCCUUCCUACCACUGUGAUUGUGAUUUUAGUCCUUAAUAUGAACAUGUUUUUUCAGGGGGCAGAAGUUCCAAACCUGACACUGACGAAAUUCUGAAUGUUGGUUAUUUUUUAACUUUUUUGUUAGCUUGGGAAUCAACUUAACUUAUUGCUUAUCUAAGCCAAGAAUAUUUCCGUUGCUCUACCAAGUUCCCCAAAUCAAAAUUUGUGGCAAAUCGGUUAAGAAGUUUAUGAGCUAUGGUCAGACAGACAAACUGAAAUUUGUGGGCGGGUUUUUAAAAGAUUUAUAAUAGUUUAAGUUAAAUUUGGCCAAGUUACGGUUUGGAACUUCCCCCCCCCCCCUGCAUUUACUUCUAAAGUAUUGUUAAUGCAAUUCUUAUUGUUUGUUUUCAAACUUAUUUUAUAAACUGUAUUCAUUAUUCACCUGUAUUGUGUUUCACGUAAAAUUGUGUAAAAGCUUAUUAAAUAGUGUGUUAAUGUAUUGGAUUGCAAAAGUUUCAGA
rnacentral:misc_RNA from 1 species